rnacentral:rRNA from 1 species
CCCCCAACUUUNGAACGUUUGACCUCGAAUCAGGUAGGACUACCCGCUGAACUUAAGCAUAUCAAUAAGCGGAGGAAAAGAAACCAACAGGGAUUGCCCUAGUAACGGCGAGUGAAGCGGCAACAGCUCAAAUUUGAAAUCUGGCCUUCGGGUCCGAGUUGUAAUUUGUAGAGGAUGCUUUUGGUGAGGUGCCUUCCGAGUUCCCUGGAACGGGACGCCAUAGAGGGUGAGAGCCCCGUCUGGUUGGACACCGAUCCUCUGUAAAGCUCCUUCAACGAGUCGAGUAGUUUGGGAAUGCUGCUCUAAAUGGGAGGUAUAUGUCUUCUAAAGCUAAAUAUUGGCCAGAGACCGAUAGCGCACAAGUAGAGUGAUCGAAAGAUGAAAAGCACUUUGAAAAGAGAGUUAAAAAGUACGUGAAAUUGUUGAAAGGGAAGCGCUCAUGACCAGACUUGGGCUUGGUUGAUCAUCCAGGGUUCUCCCUGGUGCACUCUUCCAGUUCAGGCCAGCAUCAGUUCGCUGCGGGGGAUAAAGGCUUUGGGAAUGUGGCUCCUUCGGGAGUGUUAUAGCCCAUUGUGUAAUACCCUGU